UCCGUAGGCGGGCGACUAAGUCAGAGGUGAAAUCCCACAGCUUAACUGUGGAACUGCCUUUGAUACUGGUUGUCUUGAGUUAUAGUGAAGUAGAUAGAAUAUGUAGUGUAGCGGUGAAAUGCUUAGAUAUUACAUAGAAUACCGAUUACGAAGGCAGUCUACUAACUAUAUACUGACGCUAAUGGACGAAAGCGUGGGGAGCGAACAGGAUUAGAUACCCUGGUAGUCC
rnacentral:rRNA from 1 species